rnacentral:sRNA from 2 species
CAAUAUCAUUAGCCUAAGUUUUACUAAAAACGCGGGGAAACCAGUAACAUUGGGGUGAAUCGUAUUUACGUAGGUUAUGCCUUUACCGAACCCGUCAGCUAACCCCGUCGGUAAUAAGGAGAGGAUUA